GCGCCAGGCUCCCUCGGUGCUGGUGACCUUUCCUCCCCCUACAACGUCAGCUCCCAGAACCGAGCGCGUAUUCAAACCGCCCAUAGGAAAGCAUUACCCAAUGCUUUCCUAUGAACGUUCUGUGUGCUCAAUGUGAUUCGCAUUGAGCAUCGCGGAAGCGCCUCUAGUGGCUGUCAGGAAGACAGCCACUUGAGGCUGGAUAAACCCUGCAAUGUAAACAUAGUAGUUUCUCUGAAACUGC